GAACUGAAGCAUGAUCCUGAUAAUUACCAUCUCAUACAUCAGUUUUCUCUCCCUGGUAAUAUAAUAGCGCAGCUAAUUUCCUGAGAGCUAUUACCCCCAGUACAGACCAACACACAGACAGUGUGAGGCUGACUGACAGCUCCAGUCCCAACCAGGCGAUGGGAGAAUUACUUGCUUGGCUGUGGUGCAUCCAACAGCGUGCCCUGAUCCCACAGAGCAGCCCUGGGCGGGAACCACACAAGAUAUUUUUUGGGGCCAGGAGGGACCAUUAGAUCAUCCGUUCUGGCCUCCUGCACAACACAUGCCGCAGAAUCUCAUCCAAAAAGCUUGUACUCUUAAGGGUCUGCAGCCUCGGUGUAUGAUAUCAAAACUGAAAUCAGGCCCAGCAGUGUUCUCCGCUAAACUGGGCCAAGAAGCAUAAUAAAGAUUUGGCCUUGCUAUAAAAAUGUGCCGUGCUGUACUGCUACUCUGCUUAUUCCAUGCUGGCUUCCGGGCUUCUAAUAAAGGAACAGGCAUUGGGCAAAGCACCCAGGGUUCAAAGAUUUGUUUCACGCCUUGUGUUGAGUCCGGAGCGCGCUGUCAAGAAACUGGGGCACCCUGCCCUUCAGGUGGGAGCACUUCAGAGGUGGCCGAGGACAAUUCCAGCAUCCACGGGGCUCUUUGAAUCCUUCACAACAAAACUCGUCAUUCAAAUGUGUCUUUAUUAGUAGUUAUUAAUAUUUUUAGAGAAUUGCUCCAUCCUUUUCACCAUCUGUCCUAAUUCUGCUCCUUCUCCCUCCAUGCACAGCACCGAUCUGUUCCCCCCUCUAUUCCCCUUUGUGUAGAUCAGAAAGAAAGGAAAGUUUGUAUUUGUUCAUCGGUGGUUGUGAGGGUGCCCAUGGGAAGCGAGAGCUUUUGGAAGGUCAGGGAACAAACUCUGUGUUGUGCUGACACAACUGCACCUCACCACUCCCAGCAAUACUGUGUGCCCCGAGCUGAGGCCAUGCUCCUGGGGCAGUGAGGAGGGCCCCUCUGGGCACCCCACUGCAGAUGUCCCUUUGGGGAGGCAUCGUGCUGAGGGGCUUGGAGCUGAAAGAAAGAGCAAGAACUGCUCUGCCAAUGAUACCAACCAUCCAAGCAAAGAAAGAGCAGAGAAGCGGGAUGGCACCCCUGUGCAGGCAGGGUGAAGAAGGAAUAAAACCCACUGAGGUUCCACCACCAGGUCAGGAGCUAAGACAGCCCCUAAUUCAGGGUCAUGCAAACAGAAGCUAAAUUAAUAUGAACUGCUGAAAGACUCACACAGUCUGCUCUUUUUUUCCCCUAACUCUCCUGCAAGGUUUUUUUGUGUGUGUGUUUUUAAUUUUUAUUUUUUGCAUUAUUUUAUUUUACUAUUAUUUCUUUCUGGUGAGUAAAUCUUAUUAUUAUAGUUCUAACCUUCAUUACAGUGGCUUUGUGCCCCAGCACUCCAGGGGAAAUGCAAAUUCAGAAUAGCUUUGCGAGUGCUGCUGCAGCCAUUUGAUGUCUGCACCACUAGCUAAAUUAUUUGCUAACAAACUUUGAGACUUUUUGCCCUUCCAAAAGAACCGUUCCACAUGUGGUUUUUGGCUUCCACUGCAGUGGCCCAACAAUAUUAUUUUAUCCCAGCAAAGAGCAUAUUAUUGUUUAAUAUCACUGCUAUAUUCCAGUAUGUUUCCCAGGAUGAUAAAUGUUGGCACAGAAAAGAAGCAACUUCUUCAAACAAUAAGUAAUAAAUUGUGGAAGGCUGAGGUAAAUAUUUUUCCAUGUCCCCAAACAACUCUGAGUACAUUCUUGAGGAGUGUAUUGACAGUAAAAUGUUUGAGAACAAGAAAAUUUGUUGGAUCGGGUUGUGGUUGUUGUCCAACCCAUAAAUUAUCAGGAAAAUUCCUUGCUCUUUCAACCAUCUGUUCCACUGUGUGCUUGUAGGUGAAGCUUUAAGGAAUGCAUUUUAAAAGUCUGCUACAGAAAAUAUGAAUAUGGAUGAGUUAAUGUGAGAAGAUAAAGCACAAUGCUCCGAUGCUUUAGGAAAAAAGAAGAGAAAAAAGAAACACAAAUGUUUUCAGAUAUGUCCAAGUGCAGGGGGAUACAUCUUGGCAAUGGGUUAUUGCAGUACCUUGAUUCCCUGUACCACUGAGAUACACAGUGCUCUGGGCACCCAUUCCUAACCCAGUGGCACAAAACCAGACCAAGCAAAGCCAGGAGAAGCACCACACAAAUUGCUUAGCACUGGGCAUGUGCAGUGGGAUCACAAGAGAUCAGAAAUGUCAGACAUUAACUACUAAAAUGUUACCUUAAGACUACAAUUGAAAACCACUCCCCUCUGGAGGUCACACUGCAAAGAGUGAAGAAUGUCCUGAAACACAAUAUUAUUAUCCAGCAUAACAUUUACCUACAGGUAAUGCCAUAAUCCCAACCAUCCUCGUGAGUUUUGCCUCCAACACAUAUAACUGUCCAUCUCUACCUCUUUACAUCACUUUGGGCCCCAUCCUCACAGAUUCUGUCCCCAGGCUGGCACGCUUACCCAGGAGGAGUGUUCCCUUACCCACCAGGAACUUUAUCAAAGCCAGAGCAAAAGGACUGCUGAUUGUAAGUAAGGCUACAAGUAAUUGCAAGCAAAGCCCCAGCUGCCUGAACAUCACUGUAUGUUUAGAGAAGGCUACUUGAUUGCAAGUCUUGCCUUGGUUUCAAAGGAUUUUUACAGUGUUACAUGUUGAAUAUGAACAUUUUCAACAUCCUUCAAGGGCAAUAUUUGCCCGUUUAAGUGGAAACUACUAAUCUUCUAGCACUAUAAUGGAUAGACUUACUCAGUGGACAUCAUCUGUACUUGAGACAUAAAUAAUAAAUGCAAUUUAAACUG